UCGCCUCAUAAUGAGGCGGUGACCUCCUAUUUGCUCGGAGCAAUAUAUGCAAGUCCAGUCCGCUUGUAAGACGUAUUAUGAGACGGUACGCAGGAGUGCCAAGAGUUCAGCUCGGAGUCGAGCUAGAAGAAAGAGGCUGCUGGAAUCGAGGCAGAGUGUGCAGGCAGAUGAGGAAGUGGAACUCUGGAAAUCCGCCACCAUCGACCUCAUGUCUGGCGAAGAAGAUGGCGUCGUUGGCGGAGUAUCCGGAUGGAUUGUACGGCGGCCGUCAUUUCGUAGGGUUGUGCGCAAUUCUGUUCCCCCGUGAAAAUCCGUUUCCCCCGUGUCGGGAACGCGCUUUGCAGCCAUUUUCCCGGCG